rnacentral:rRNA from 1 species
GAUGAACGCUAGCGGCAGGCCUAACACAUGCAAGUCGAGGGGGAGGUUACUUUCGGGUAACUGAGACCGGCGUACGGGUGCGUAACGCGUAUACAAUCUGCCUUUCACUGGGGGAUAGCCCGAAGAAAUUUGGAUUAAUACCCCAUAGUAUAUAGGGACGGCAUCGUUUUUAUAUUAAAGCUUAGGUGGUGAAAGAUGAGUAUGCGUUCUAUUAGCUAGUUGGAGAGGUAACGGCUCCCCAAGGCGAUGAUAGAUAGGGGUUCUGAGAAGGAUGUCCCCCACACUGGUACUGAGAUACGGACCAGACUCCUACGGGAGGCAGCAGUGAGGAAUAUUGGACAAUGGUCGGAAGACUGAUCCAGCCAUGCCGCGUGCAGGAUGAAGGUCUUAUGGAUUGUAAACUGCUUUUGUAAGGGAAGAAUAAGGGCUACGCGU